UACGGGGGGGGCAAGCGUUGUUCGGAAUUACUGGGCGUAAAGGGUUCGUAGGUGGCCUGCUAAGUCAGACGUGAAAUCCCUCAGCUUAACUGGGGAACUGCGUCUGAUACUGGAAGGCUUGAGUGCAGGAGAGGAACGCGGAAUUCCAGGUGUAGCGGUGAAAUGCGUAGAUAUCUGGAGGAAUACCAAUGGCGAAGGCAGCCCCCUGGGAUAAUAUUGACGCUCAUGCGCGAAAGCGUGGGGAGCAAACAGG
rnacentral:rRNA from 1 species